rfam:Brachypodium distachyon strain Bd21 chromosome 5, whole genome shotgun sequence.
AUUAUACUUCCUCUGUCCGAAAAAUGAGUGAUCCAGAUUUGUCUAGAUUCGCAUGUAUCUAUACACUAAAACACGUCUAGAUACAUAUGAAUCUAAAUAAAUCCUAAUCACUUAUUUUCAGACGGAGAAAGUAUGUU